AUUGAACGCUGGCGGCAGGCCUAACACAUGCAAGUCGAGCGCGCGGCGGACGGGUGAGAAUUGUCUGGGAAACUGCCUGUUGGGGGGGGAUAACUACUGGAAACGCUAGCGAAUACCGCAUAUCAUACGAUGUGCCCACAUGGGAUUAGCUAGUAGGGGGGGUAACGGCUCACCUAGGGGACGCUCCCUAGCUGGUCUGAGAGGAUGACCAGCCACACUGGAACUGAGACACGGUCCAGACUCCUACGGGAGGCAGCAGUGGGGAAUAUUGCACAAUGGGCGCAAGCCUGAUACAGCCAUGCCGCGUGUGUGAAGAAGGCCUUCGGGUUGUAAAGCACUUUCAGCGGGGAGGCGUUACCCGCAGAAGAAGCACCGGCUAACUCCGUGCCAGCAGCCGCGGUAAUUC
rnacentral:rRNA from 1 species